rnacentral:rRNA from 1 species
GAUGAACGCUGGCGGCGUGCCUGAUACAUGCAAGUCGAGCGAACAGACGAGGAGCUUGCUCCUCUGACGUUAGCGGCGGACGGGUGAGUAACACGUGGAUAACCUACCUAUAAGACUGGGAUAACUUCGGGAAACCGGAGCUAAUACCGGAUAAUAUAUUGAACCGCAUGGUUCAAUAGUGAAAUACGGUUUUGCUGUCACUUAUAGAUGGAUCCGCGCCGCAUUAGCUAGUUGGUAAGGUAACGGCUUACCAAGGCGACGAUGCGUAGCCGACCUGAGAGGGUGAUCGGCCACACUGGAACUGAGACACGGUCAAGACUACUACGGGAGGCAGCAGUAGGGUAUGUUCCGCAGUGGGCGAAAGCUUGACGGAGCAACGCCGCGUGAGUGAUGAAGGUCUUCGGAGCGUAAAACUCUGUUAUUAGGGAAGAACAAAUGUGUAAGUAACUAUGCACGUCUUGACGGUACCUAAUCAGAAAGCCACGGCUAACUACGUG